UGCAGACCAUUUGACAGUCA
rnacentral:snRNA from 1 species